GUUUUUCUAAUUGAAUUGUUUCAAAAUUAAUAAUUUCUUAUUGUAAUUGAUUUUUUGUUUUCGAUGUUAAUUAAUUAAUUUAAUUUCUUUCAAAUUGUGUUGGUCAUUUUUUCAUCCUCUUUGUUUGAUUUGUUUGGCUCGAAUCUCUAACCUAUGGGGUUAACCUUUUUAGAGUUUCUCUCUCUCUAUGAGUGAGUGUGUAAAUUAUUACCAUCAAAUUGAAUCUCAACAUGAUUUAGUUAAUUUAUAUAGGAAAUCCAAUGGUACCUUCUUUUGACAUUCUCUUUGGUUUUUACUCUUAAUGGCUGAUGGAGGAAGAGAGAGGGAGAGAGUUAAUCAUUUACCUUGUUUUCUUAAUUGUGACAUGAAGGCGAUUUGUUAGGUACACAUUUAUUUAAUUUACUGAUUCUACAUGGAGAAAGAGAGACAACAAGCCGAGAAGAAAAGGGGAAAAAUUAUCAAGAUUGAGGUGCCAAGUCACUAAACCGUAAUCGUUUAAGUAUAAAGCUUCUUUUUAACGCCUUCACCUUCACCUUUGCGUUUGUUUGUGUUUAACACGCAAUCCAAAAUCUACAAAUAACAUGAUAUUAUGUAUUCUUCAACCAAGGCUUGGAACAAUUAUCAUUCUCUCUCCCUCAUUCGCUCACUGGUUCCAAUACAAACCUUAUGGUAACACCAACGAUGAUAACGAUGACAAGUCAAAGGCCAAAGGAUGAAGGCGAAACUAAAUUGAUCUCCUCUGCCCCUCUAAGCCUCAAUCAAAAUCUGGUAAAGAUUAUCACAUUAUCUCAUUGUUAUCGUUGAUUAUUAUUAUUGGAUAAUCAGCGUAACAAACAACAACAAUCAAACAUUCAAGUGGUUCAUUUGCAUUAUAAGGAUGUUUAAAACCGACAACGUGCUGACUACGUUUGAACAGUUAUAAGAUCGGAAAAAGAGCAGCGGCAAAAAAAAGAGGUUUUCAUUUAGAAAGAGGAAAAUAAAACACUCGCUAGCAACGACCGACAACGAUGGUGACGAGGAUUGUCACAACGGAAUCAUGAACCAUUGUGACCUUACAAUAUCUUAUCAACAUCUUUAUCUAGUAUUAUUAUUAUCACCAUUUACUAUUAUUGACACGGUUACAAUUAACUAUUACACAUUUAAAUGUAAAGCCUCAAAUGAGCUUACAUUUUGUGCACUUAGGGAUAUACACCAUAGACUAUUAUUGAAUGAAAGAGAGAGAGAGAGAGAGAGAAAAGAUGAUGGAAAAUGGUUCAAAUGAAUAGUAAUAAUAAUAAUCAUUAAAAUGAUGAAGAGAAAUCAAGAAUUGAAUAGUAACAAUAUAACUGAGAUACAUAUAAACACACAGAAAUGAAUCAACUAGAUAAUGGUAAUAAUAAUAUAACUAUUAACUUGUAACCAAACAAUAAUAGUAAUAACAAAUUGUAUCAAAUUUACUUGCAUCUUUUCCCCUUCCUCCUCCUCUUUCUCAAUCUCCAUCUCCGUCUUCAUUUCCCUCUUCCUCUUCAUCUUUAUCAUCAUCAUCUUCUUCCUCCUCCUCCUCCUCCUAUUUGAUUCUUGUGACCAGAAAAUAAUGUGAUAUUUAUUUUUUUUGUUGCUACAACAAUCAAACAAUUGACAUUAUUAUUUUCUGAUUACUUUGAUUAACUAAAUCACAUUUUCAAUACUUUCCACUCCUCCUUCAAUUUCCCCACUUCCACCUUCACCAUCACCUUGAUUGUGACCAAUUUUAAAUCAUCUUCAUUCCCAAUCAAAAUUAAUCCAAUCUCAUCAAUCUAAUCAUUUAUUCAUUAACUUAACUUUUCACGCUUUCCACUUAUACUCAUAAUCAUGAUACAAAAAGUUAUACUUAUUAUCAUAUUUAUCAUAUUUAUUAUCAUUAUCCUUGAUUACCAUUAAUAUUAUAAUCAUAAUAAUCAACAUAAUCAAUUGAUUACACCAGAAUCAUUUACUUGAUUUCUGCGCAAGCCUAUGGGAAAAUAAAUUGUUAAUAGUAUCAAA